ACAAAGAUCUUUCGAUUUCAAUGGUAGCAUAUGUGAUUUUAAAGGUAGUGAUUAUAGGGGCAUACACUACAAGAUUAAUAUUGAUUUGAGGGAGUAUUUUAGUGAAGGUUUUUAAAAACCUCCACAAUACAUUUUAUUUAUGGCACUUUAAAAAACCUCCACUCAUAAUUAAUUAAAAUUCAAAAUUAAAAAAAACGUCAUUUUCUCUUUUUUCUCAAAAUGAAAGGUGCAGAGUCAGCUGAGAGAGAAUAAACCCUAAGUUUUUCACGCCAUUUUUGCCGCCGUUCUCGCUGCGGUUUUCGCUGACGGUGCUGUUACCACUGUCGUGCCCGUUGCAAUAGAGAGCUUCUAGAUCGAGUCACCCCUUCUAUCAACGCGUUUUCGGAUUUGUUCUCUCUGUCUGUCGUUGCUGCCACUUUGCCAUCGCAGUUUCUGCCACCAUUGCUGCCACAGGUUCUGCCGUCGAUGCCACCGUAGUUGCCGUGGUACAAUGCAUUUGCAGAUCUGUUCACUCCCGAGCUGCUUCUUCAACGUCGCUUUCUCUCACUCCAAUUUCUCCUUUGAAUUGACGCUGGGAUUUAUUUAACAUAUUCAAAUGGUAUCACUUGGAAAAAGGCUAGUUCCUCAUGGCUUAUUUGUAGAACUUUAAAGGAAGAAGUGAAUAUUACAGGACCACUUGGAUUUCAAAAUGAGGAAUAUAAUGGGAGCUUGCUUACUUUGGUCUAUAGGCCAUACUCAUGAACAAAGAGAAAGAGGGUGUAUCUUUAUCUCAUAGAAGAAUCUACAGUUAGCAUAAAGUCAUCUGAAUAGUCUUAAUUGGUGAAAUCUGCUAUUCGGCAAGGCAGGAGAAGUAUGCCGGUUAAUGGAUAUGAGGCAAGGGUUGUCAUGGCUCUUUUGCAAUGUGCUGAGACGUUGCAGGGUGAUCUAAAAGUGGCCAUAAAGGAAGACAAGGACUGGUAUAGUCGUUUCAUGCCUCUUACAGAAGUGAUCAUGGAAUUUGUCGUUAAUUGAUCUUUAGUUAAAAUGAUAGAACAAAUUGAGGUAAAUAAGAACUCACUUUAUGUAAAUUAUAUUUGUGUGAACUCACUUUUUUGAGACUAUGUUUUCUUAUCCAUUAGCAGCAAUGAAACACUACAAUAAUGGGCUAAAAGAGGUAAAUUAACUUCUUAGUCCUAGUCUUCUAUUGAUUUCUUUUUAUUAUAGUACCUUUAUUAAACAAUAAAAAGAAAAAUUCUUCUCUGUGAUGUUUUUCAGGAAGAGCAAUACAAUAGAAUUGACGUUUAUUCUCUCUUUAGUGAUAGUAAGAUACAUUUAUUUAUAUAUUUAUAAGAGUUUAUAUUAACUUAUUUUUAUUUUGAAAUUGAAGUGCUGAAGGUGAAGGAGGAAAGGAGGAGUAUUGGGAUGGUUAUCACUCCGUCCUCCAGAAAUUGUUUGGGCAGGCAGAGACCCAAAGGUCGUAGAAGAAGUAGCCGCCAGGAGAAAGAAAAAAUGUUGAAUGGAUCUUAGAAGAAUUGAACCACUAAUGUCCAGUUUGUGAUCAUUAUAACUAAUCAAGUUAUAAUGAACCUCAGCCAUCGAAAGAUUUCAUUCAAACUCAGGGAACAGCAUUGGUGGUACUCGUCGGACUUGUCGUUGGUUACCACCACUAGUUCCUCAAAGCUUGGAAGAGAGAGUUUCAUAGAUCUUAACCUCCUUGCCUUAGCUGAAGAAGAUGAUGCGAACCAAUUCGAGGAUUCCGCGGUUUCAGAUGCAGAUUUUGUGAAUCCGGUGAAGGUUUUUCCUAGCUGAAAGUUUUUUUUUUCACGAUGACUAUAAUGAUUAUUUUAGUUGUUAUUGAUCCAAAAAGGUACUAAAAAGUUUUGGUUCAUUAUUUUUCUUUCUUUUUUCUAUUUUCUCUUCUCAAGAACAAUUUUUAGAUUUGUUCAGUUACAGCUAAUUGGAAUAAUAUGGUUUACUC